UACGGAGGGUGCGAGCGUUGUCCGGAAUCACUGGGCGUAAAGAGCGCGCAGGCGGUCGUGCAAGUCGCGUGUGAAAGCCCCCGGCUCAACUGGGGAGGGUCACGCGAUACUGCUCGACUCGAAGGCAGGAGAGGGAAGUGGAAUUCCCGGUGUAGUGGUGAAAUGCGUAGAUAUCUGGAGGAACACCGGUGGCGAAGGCGGCAUCCUGGACCGGCAUUGACGCUGAGGCGCGAAAGCCAGGGGAGCAAAGCGGG
rnacentral:rRNA from 1 species